AGAGUUUGAUCCUGGCUCAGGAUGAACGCUGGCGGCGUGCCUAACACAUGCAAGUCGAACGAACCUUGCUUAACAGAUCUUUUCGGAGUGAAGUUGAGCUCUGGUUAGUGGCGGACGGGUGAGUAACGCGUGGGAAACCUGCCGUAUGCUGGGGGAUAACAGUUAGAAAUGACUGCUAAUACCGCAUAAGCGCACGCUAUCGCAUGAUAGUGUGUGAAAAACUCCGGUGGCAUACGAUGGUCCCGCGUCUGAUUAGCUAGUUGGUAGUGUAACGGACUACCAAGGCGACGAUCAGUAGCCGGCCUGAGAGGGUGAACGGCCACAUUGGAACUGAGACACGGUCCAAACUCCUACGGGAGGCAGCAGUGGGGGAUAUUGCACAAUGGGGGAAACCCUGAUGCAGCGACGCCGCGUGAGUGAAGAAGUAUUUCGGUAUGUAAAGCUCUAUCAGCAGGAAAGAUAAUGACGGUACCUGACUAAGAAGCACCGGCUAAAUACGUGCCAGCAGCCGCGGUAAUACGUAUGGUGCAAGCGUUAUCCGGAUUUACUGGGUGUAAAGGGAGCGCAGACGGCAUGGCAAGCCAGAUGUGAAAUGCGGGGGCUCAACUCCUGAACUGCAUUUGGAACUGUCAAGCUAGAGUAUCGGAGAGGUAAGUGGAAUUCCUAGUGUAGCGGUGAAAUGCGUAGAUAUUAGGAGGAACACCAGUGGCGAAGGCGGCUUACUGGACGAUAACUGACGUUGAGGCUCGAAAGCGUGGGGAGCAAACAGGAUUAGAUACCCUGGUGGUCCACGCCGUAAACGAU
rnacentral:rRNA from 1 species